rnacentral:rRNA from 1 species
CACGUAGGGUGCGAGCGUUGUCCGGAAUCACUGGGCGUAAAGGGUGCGUAGGCGGGUCUUUAAGUCAGGGGUGAAAUCCUGGAGCUCAACUCCAGAACUGCCUUUGAUACUGAGGAUCUUGAGUUCGGGAGAGGUGAGUGGAACUGCGAGUGUAGAGGUGAAAUUCGUAGAUAUUCGCAAGAACACCAGUGGCGAAGGCGGCUCACUGGCCCGAUACUGACGCUGAGGUGCGAAAGCGUGGGGAGCAAACAGG